rfam:Triticum aestivum genome assembly, contig: Triticum_aestivum_CS42_TGACv1_scaffold_062330_1DL
UGUUUUUUUAUGCCAAAACACAGGUCUUCGCAAAGUCGUAAGACCAUGUAUAGGGGUUGACGCAUGCCUAGUGCCGGAAGGUCAAGGAAGUUGGUGAACUGAUGACAGGGAAGCCAGCGACCGAAGCUCCGGUGAAGGGCGGCCGUAACUAUAACGGUCCUAAGGUAGCGAAAUUCCUUGUUGGGUAAGUUCCGACCCGCACGAAAGGCGUAACGA